ACGGGAGGCAGCAGUGGGGAAUAUUGCACAAUGGGCGCAAGCCUGAUGCAGCAACGCCGCGUGAGGGAAGACGGUUUUCGGAUUGUAAACCUCUGUCUUUGGUGACGAAGAAGUGACGGUAGCCAAGGAGGAAGCCACGGCUAACUACGUGCCAGCAGCCGCGGUAAUACGUAGGUGGCAAGCGUUAUCCGGAUUUACUGGGUGUAAAGGGCGUGUAGGCGGAGCUGCAAGUCAGAUGUGAAAUCCCGGGGCUCAACCCCGGAACUGCAUUUGAAACUGUAGCCCUUGAGUAUCGGAGAGGCAAGCGGAAUUCCUAGUGUAGCGGUGAAAUGCGUAGAUAUUAGGAGGAACACCAGUGGCGAAGGCGGCUUGCUGGACUGUAACUGACGUUCAGGCUCGAAGGCGUGGGGAGCAAACAGGAUUAGAUACCUGGUA
rnacentral:rRNA from 1 species